CCAUAUACGACCGUACCGCAAACCGACACUGGUGCGCGAGAUGAGUAUUCUAAGGCGCUUGAGAGAACUCAGGAGAAGGAACUCGGCAAAUUGACACCGUAACUUCGGAAGAAGGUGUGCCCUAUUAGUGUGUAGUGAACAACGAAGCAUGAAUGGGUUGCAAAAAAUCGGUCGCUGCGACUGUUUAUUAAAAACACAGCACUCUGCAAACACGAAAGUGGACGUGUAGGGUGUGACGCCUGCCCGGUGCUGGAAGAUUAAAUGAUGGGGUGCAAGCUCUUGAUUGAAGUCCCAGUAAACGGCGGCCGUAACGAUAACGGUCCUAAGGUAGCGAAAUUCCUUGUCGGGUAAGUUCAGACCUGCACGAAUGGCGUAACGAUGGCCACACUGUCUCCUCCUGAGACUCAGCGAAGUUGAAAUGUUUGUGAUGAUGCAAUCUCCCCGCGGAAAGACGGAAAGACCCCAUAACCUUUACUGUAGCUUUGUAUUGGACUUUGAACAGAUCUGUGUAGGAUAGGUGGGAGGCUUUGAAGCAGGGUCGCUAGAUCUUGUGGAGCCAACGUUGAAAUACCACCCUGGUGUGUUUGAGGUUCUAACCUAGGUCCAUUAUCUGGAUCGGGGACAGUGCAUGGUAGGCAGUUUGACUGGGGCGGUCUCCUCCCAAAGCGUAACGGAGGAGUUCGAAGGUACGCUAGUUACGGUCGGACAUCGUGACGAUAGUGCAAUGGCAUAAGCGUGCUUAACUGCGAGACUGACAAGUCGAGCAGAUGCGAAAGCAGGACAUAGUGAUCCGGUGGUUCUGUAUGGAAGGGCCAUCGCUCAACGGAUAAAAGGUACUCUGGGGAUAACAGGCUGAUACCGCCCAAGAGUUCAUAUCGACGGCGGUGUUUGGCACCUCGAUGUCGGCUCAUCUCAUCCUGGGGCUGUAGCCGGUCCCAAGGGUAUGGCUGUUCGCCAUUUAAAGAGGUACGUGAGCUGGGUUUAAAACGUCGUGAGACAGUUUGGUCCCUAUCUUCCGUGGGCGCUGCAGAUUUGAGGAAGCCUGCUCCUAGUACGAGAGGACCGGAGUGGACACACCUCUGGUGUAUCGGUUGUCACGCCAGUGGCAUUGCCGAGUAGCUAAGUGUGGAAGAGAUAACCGCUGAAAGCAUCUAAGCGGGAAACUCGUUUCAAGAUGAGAUCUGCCGGGGCCUUGAGCCCCCUAAAGAGUCGUUCAAGACCAGGACGUUGAUAGGUCAGGUGUGGAAGCG
rnacentral:rRNA from 1 species